CCGUGAGCCGCGUUAACCGGACAUGACAGAGAUGACGAAUGCGGGGGUCUUUCCGGUUUCACCCUGCAGCCAACGAAGCGGCAGCUGAGCGUCCAACCUGUCCGGCUC
rnacentral:sRNA from 1 species